rnacentral:rRNA from 1 species
GCGUAAAGAGCUCGUAGGUGGUUUGUCGCGUUGUUCGUGAAAUCUCACGGCUUAACUGUGAGCGUGCGGGCGAUACGGGCAGACUUGAGUACUGCAGGGGAGACUGGAAUUCCUGGUGUAGCGGUGGAAUGCGCAGAUAUCAGGAGGAACACCGGUGGCGAAGGCGGGUCUCUGGGCAGUAACUGACGCUGAGGAGCGAAAGCGUGGGGAGCGAACAGGAUUAGAUACCCUGGUAGUCCACGCCGUACACGGUGGGUACUAGGUGUGGGUUUCCCUCCUUGGGAUCCGUGCCGUAGAUUACGCGUUAAGUACCCCGCCUGGGGAGUACGGCCGCAAGGCUAAAACUCAAAGAAAUUGACGGGGGCCCGCACAAGCGGCGGAGCACGUGGAUUAAUUCGAUGCAACGCGAAGAACCUUACCUGGGUUUGACAUGCACAGGACGCCGGCAGAGAUGUCGGUUCCCUUGUGGCCUGUGUGCAGGUGGUGCAUGGCUGUCGUCAGCUCGUGUCGUGAGAUGUUGGGUUAAGUCCCGCAACGAGCGCAACCCUUGUCUCAUGUUGCCAGCGGGUAAUGCCGGGGACUCGUGAGAGACUGCCGGGGUCAACUCGGGGGAAGGUGGGGAUGACGUCAAGUCAUCAAGCCCCUUAUGUCCAGGGCUUCACACAUGCUACAAUGGCCGGUACAAAGGGCUGCGAUGCCGCGAGGUUAAGCGAAUCCUUUUAAAGCCGGUCUCAGUUCGGAUCGGGGUCUGCAACUCGACCCCGUGAAGUCGGAGUCGCUAGUAAUCGCAGAUCA